UACGUAGGUGGCAAGCGUUACUCGGAAUCACUAGGCGUAAAGCGCAGGUAGGCGGUUCGGUAAGUCUUUUGUGAAAGCUCCCGGCUCAACUGGGAGAGGUCAAGGGAAACUACCGGGCUAGAGUGUGGCAGAGGAAGCUGGAAUUCCCGGUGUAGCGGCGAAAUGCGUAGAGAUCGGGAGGAAUACCUAUGGCGAAAGCAGGCUUCUGGGCCGUCACUGACGCUGAUCUGCGAAAGCUAGGGGAGCAAACAGG
rnacentral:rRNA from 1 species